GGGCGAGCCCACACUGGCCAGCAGCAGUAGCACCGAUGGGCCCACAUCAUCACGGUGUCACACGCACCACACUACAGAAGAAGAUGUGGGGAGCAGUCUCACGGCUCUGACCUCUGGCACGAAGACUAGCCCUCCAACCAGAGUUCAUGUGGAUCACACAUACGCGAUGCAAGGCGCGAUGGAUGGACAUGGCCCGCCGUCUGGCGGAAACGAUGUGUG